rnacentral:rRNA from 1 species
GAUGAACGCUGGCGGCGUGCCUAAUACAUGCAAGUCGAGCGAACGGACGAGAAGCUUGCUCCUCUGAUGUUAGCGGCGGACGGGUGAGUAACACGUGGAUAACCUACCUAUAAGACUGGGAUAACUUCGGGAAACCGGAGCUAAUACCGGAUAAUAUUUUGAACCGCAUGGUUCAAAAGUGAAAGACGGUCUUGCUGUCACUUAUAGAUGGAUCCGCGCUGCAUUAGCUAGUUGGUAAGGUAACGGCUUACCAAGGCAACGAUGCGUAGCCGACCUGAGAGGGUGAUCGGCCACACUGGAACUGAGACACGGUCCAGACUCCUACGGGAGGCAGCAGUAGGGAAUCUUCCGCAAUGGGCGAAAGCCUGACGGAGCAACGCCGCGUGAGUGAUGAAGGUCUUCGGAUCGUAAAACUCUGUUAUUAGGGAAGAACAUAUGUGUAAGUAACUGUGCACGUCUUGACGGUACCUAAUCAGAAAGCCACGGCUAACUACGUG